UGUACCGUUACCACGGCAACCGCAUCGCCCCGGGGUAGGUAAAGAUGGCGGGGCGAAGUGUUAGAGCGCCGAGACGCGGUGCUGCAGGUACCCAGUCGCGCGGGCAGCUUGCAGCUGGACGGGACCUCCUCGCCCGUGAGCAAGAGUACAAGCGUUUAAAUGCAGAAUUAGAGGCAAAAACUGCUAAUCUGGUUCGACAAGCUGAGGAAGUAAUAAGAGAGCAGCAAGAAGUGCGAGCCACGCCUUUUUCAGCACUAAUUACAGCAUGCAAAGAGGAGGAUGGUUACAAUCCGAGAGAACUGUUGUCUUCUGAAGGGAUGGCUCAUCCAUGGUCAGAAACCAAGCCAAAGACCAAAAACAUUGGUCCUGUAAACAAGAUUCAAAACAGACUCCACUCUGCAGAUAAAGAGAGGAAAACAAAUUCAAGUGUUAAACUGAAAUAUCCUGACAUGCAGACUGCCAAUGAUGUGGCCAUCCCAGACGAUUUCUCAGACUUCUCCCUUGCCAAGACAAUUAGCAGGAUUGAAGGGCAGCUGGAAGAGGGUGGCUUGCCUGAGUGUGCAGAGGACGACAGCUUCUGUGGUGUUAGUAAGGACAUUGGGACAGAGGCUCAGAUCCGAUUUCUAAAGGCCAAGCUCCAUGUGAUGCAGGAGGAACUGGACAGCAUUGUGUGUGAGUGCAAUAAGAAGGAGGAUGAAAUUCAGGACUUAAAGUCCAAGGUGAAAAAUUUGGAAGAAGACUGUGUGCGACAACAGCGAACAGUUACAUCCCAGCAAUCCCAAAUAGAAAAAUAUAAGAAUCUUUUUGAAGAAGCAAAUAAAAAAUGUGAUGAAUUACAGCAACAGCUAUCAUCAGUAGAACGGGAAUUAGAAAAUAAAAGAAGAUUACAAAAACAGGCUGCAUCAAGUCAGAGUGCCACGGAGGUCCGCCUGAAUCGAGCUCUCGAAGAAGCAGAAAAGUAUAAAGUGGAGCUGAGUAAACUCAGGCAAGCAAACAAGCUUCUUUAUAAAGUGCAGUGUCCUCUGCUGUGUGCUGUCACCUUGACGGACUGGGCUCCUCAGCCCUGAGGCAUUUGGGCCCAGGGAACCUGGAUGGAGACUGCUGAAGCUAAGCAAAGCCAGCCUCCCUCAAGUUGUUUUGGACAUUGUGCUACAGGCCAGAAAGCUGACUCAGUUUAGGCAUGCUGAUGUUUGGUACACAUGCAACUGUCACAGCUUGGAGAGCAGACCAUUUGGCCAUUAUGUAAUGUUCUUGCCUCUUCAUAAAUCUGACUGAGAAGCAACUGUACAGACAUCAGACAAAUAUAAACGGAUUUCUUUUGGCUACUAUUUCUGUGGAUUAUCUCCUUCCAUCCACCGCACAUGUCUUUAGAGCUAACCUGCUCACCUAUGGACAGAAUAUACUUGGGUCCUGUUCUGUUUUAUUCCAUCUUUUCCAACUUGGGCAUUCUUAGUUGUCUGACUCUGUAGUAAGUGCUGACAAGGACAGGCUUUUUAUGACAUUUCUUGUCCUCUGUCAUUUUUACCUCACAGCCUUUAACUAGCUUUUGUUCCCCUCUCAUUUAGGCCUCUCUUGUCAUUGGUGUACUUUAUGGCUACCUGUGAAGUUAAAGGAAGCUAAUUUUUUAUUUAUUUACAUGUCAAAUGUUAUCCCCUUUCCCAGUUUCCCCUAUCCCAUCUCUUACCCUGCUUCUAUGAGGGUACUC